GAUGAACGCUGGCGGCGUGCCUAAUACAUGCAAGUCGAGCGAAGGAAGUAGCGAUAUUUUCUUAGCGGCGAACGGGUGAGUAACGCGUUGGUGACCUGCCUCGAAGCGUGGGAUAACAGUUCGAAAGGAUUGCUAAUACCGCAUGUGGUGGUAGAGAUUAGAAGCUCUACGACUAAAGGAGAAAUUCACUUCGAGAGGGGCCUGCGUCCCAUCAGCUAGUUGGUGAGGUAAAAGCCCACCAAGGCGAUGACGGGUAGGGGACCUGAGAGGGUGGCCCCCCACAAUGGAACUGAAACACGGUCCAUACACCUACGGGUGGCAG
rnacentral:rRNA from 1 species